rnacentral:rRNA from 1 species
CAGCACCUCAAGUGGUCAGGAUGAUUAUUGGGCCUAAAGCAUCCGUAGCCGGCGCUGUAAGUUUUCGGUUAAAUCUGUACGCUCAACGUACAGGCUGCCGGGAAUACUGCAGCGCUAGGGAGUGGGAGAGGUAGACGGUACUCGGUAGGAAGGGGUAAAAUCCUUUGAUCUAUUGAUGACCACCUGUGGCGAAGGCGGUCUACCAGAACACGUCCGACGGUGAGGGAUGAAAGCUGGGGGAGCAGACCGGAUUAGAUACCCGAGUAGUCC